UGUCUCAGUGCAAGCCAAAUUAAGGUGAAACCGCGAAUGGCUCAUUAAAUCAGUUAUGGUUCCUUAGAUCGUACCACGUUACUUGGAUAACUGUGGUAAUUCUAGAGCUAAUACAUGCAAACAGAGUCCCGACCAGAAAUGGAAGGGACGCUUUUAUUAGAUCAAAACCAAUCGGUCGGCUCGUCCGGUCCGUUUGCCUUGGUGACUCUGAAUAACUUUGGGCUGAUCGCACGGUCCUGGAACCGGCGACGCAUCUUUCAAAUGUCUGCCUUAUCAACUGUCGAUGGUAGGUUCUGCGCCUACCAUGGUUGUAACGGGUAACGGGGAAUCAGGGUUCGAUUCCGGAGAGGGAGCCUGAGAAACGGCUACCACAUCCAAGGAAGGCAGCAGGCGCGCAAAUUACCCACUCCCGGCACGGGGAGGUAGUGACGAAAAAUAACGAUACGGGACUCAUCCGAGGCCCCGUAAUCGGAAUGAGUACACUUUAAAUCCUUUAACGAGUAUCCAUUGGAGGGCAAGUCUGGUGCCAGCAGCCGCGGUAAUUCCAGCUCCAAUAGCGUAUAUUAAAGUUGUUGCGGUUAA
rnacentral:rRNA from 1 species